rnacentral:rRNA from 1 species
UGAGGAAUAUUGGUCAAUGGGCGCAAGCCUGAACCAGCCAUGCCGCGUGCAGGAAGACGGCUCUAUGAGUUGUAAACUGCUUUUAUAUGGGAGUAAUGUUUCGUACGUGUACGAAUUUGCAAGUACCAUAUGAAUAAGGAUCGGCUAACUCCGUGCCAGCAGCCGCGGUAAUACGGAGGAUCCGAGCGUUAUCCGGAUUUAUUGGGUUUAAAGGGUGCGCAGGCGGGAUUUUAAGUUAGUCGUUAAAUCGUAGGGCUCAACUCUACAAUUGCGAUUAAUACUGGGAUUCUAGAGAUUAGAUGCAGAGGGCGGAAUGUGUAGUGUAGCGGUGAAAUGCUUAGAUAUUACACAGAACACCGAUUGCGAAGGCAGCUCUCUAAUCUACAUCUGACGCUGAGGCACGAAAGCGUGGGGAUCAAACA